GGGUCAGCGUAGCCUAACGGUUCCUUCGUUGAUUACAAACUCUAUGUCACCAGGUUCAAAUCCCGUGGGCGCUGCCUGGCCUUUUA
rnacentral:vault_RNA from 1 species